CGGCGUAAAGCGUGGUUAAGAAAACAAGAGAAAAUAUGGCCGAACAGCUUCAAAGCAGUUAUACGCAUCCGAAGUCACGAAGAACAAUCACGAAAGUUGCCUUAAAACCUCUGAUUCCACGAAAGCCAUAAAACAAACUGGGAUUAGAUACCCCACUAUGUAUGGUCGUUAACAUUGAUGGUUUUAUACCCAAACCAUCCGCCUGGGAACUACGAGCAAUAGCUUAAAACCCAAAGGACUUGGCGGUGCUUUAGACCCCCCUAGAGGAGCCUGUUCUAGAACUGAUAACCCCCGUUUAACCUCACCAUCCUUUGUUUACCCCGCCUAUAUACCACCGUCGUCAGCUUACCCUGUGAAGGGAAAAUAGUAAGCAUAAAUGGCAAAGCCAAAAACGUCAGGUCGAGGUGUAGCGAAUGGGAUGGGAAGAAAUGGGCUACAUUCUCUAUUAUAGAGAAUACGAAUUGUAAUUUGAAAAAAAUUACCUGAAGGAGGAUUUAGCAGUAAGUAGGGACUAGAGUGCCCUGCUGAAAACGGCCCUGAAGCGCGCACACACCGCCCGUCACUCUCUCCAAAUAAACCCUAGAUAUUACCUAAAAUGCUUUUUAUAAUAAGGGGAGGCAAGUCGUAACAUGGUAAGCGUA
rnacentral:rRNA from 1 species